AAACAUUAGGUCACACAUUGACACUUGUAAGUAAUCUGUGGUUGUCAGGGAAAGAAUGGGCCAGGAAUCAUUACAGAGAUGUUCUAUAAUUUAUGUUUGGGUUUUAUAUCUCUAGUAAAACUGUGUAGGGAAAGGUGUUACAAUCUGUUGUGAAACUGUGUUUGAUUUACAUGUACAUCAACAUUGGGGGAUCUAGUGAAAUAAUCCAUACAAUUAUUUUGUAAGCUUCCUAACAUAUCAACUAAAAUUUCAAUUCAUAAUGUUUUUGAGUCAUAAGGCCAAUGUCUAGCCUUUUAAAUGAGAUUUAAUGCUGCCAAAGUUGUUUACAUUUUUUAAUGCAACCUAGCAGCCAACGUGAACAUGUUUUUAAGUGGAACUCGGGGGGGGGGGGGGGG